GAUGAACGCUGGCGGCGUGCCUAAUACAUGCAAGUCGAGCGGAAGGACGCUGAUCUUGCUUCUUUGUUGUUUGCGGCGGACGGGUGAAUCACGUGUGUAUCCCGUCCCUAUAUGACUGGUAUAACUUCGAGAAACCGGAGCUUAUACCGUAUAAUAUUUUGCACCGCAUUGUUCAAAAGAGAAAUACGGUGUUGCUGUCACGUCUAGAUGGUUCCGGGCUGCAUUGGAUAGUUGGUAAGGUAACGGGUUACCAAGGCAACGAUGCAUAGCCGAGCGGCGAGGGGGAUCGGCCACACUGGAACUGAGCCACGGUCAAGAGUACUACGGGACGCAGCAGUCGGGAAUCGUCCGCAAUGGGCGAGAGCAUGGCGGAGCAGCGCCGAGCGAGUGAUGAAGAUCCUCGGAUCGUAAAACCGUGUUAUGAGGGAAGAACAUAUGUGUAAGUAACUGUGCAGAUAUUGACGGUAACUAAUAAGAAAGCAACGGCUAACUACGUG
rnacentral:rRNA from 1 species